rnacentral:rRNA from 1 species
AGUGAACGCUGGCGGCAGGCCUAACACAUGCAAGUCGAACGGCAGCGCAGCAGUAGCAAUACAAUUGAUGGCGACCGGCAAACGGGUGCGGAACACGUACACAACCUUCCAACAAGUGGGGGAUAGCCCAGAGAAAUUUGGAUUAAUACCCCGUAACAUAGCGAUGUGGCAUCACAUUGCUAUUAUAGAUUUUUCGCUUGUUGAUGGGUGUGCGGCUGAUUAGAUAGUUGGCGGGGUAACGGCCCACCAAGUCUACGAUCAGUAGCUGAUGUGAGAGCAUGAUCAGCCACACGGGCACUGAGACACGGGCCCGACUCCUACGGGAGGCAGCAGUAAGGAAUAUUGGACAAUGGACGCAAGUCUGAUCCAGCCAUGCCGCGUGAAGGAUUAAGGUCCUCUGGAUUGUAAACUUCUUUUAUAAGGGACGAAAAAAGGCUUUUCUAAGUCGUCUGACGGUACCUUAUGAAUAAGCACCGGUUAACUCCGUGCCAGCCGCCGCGGUAAGAC